rnacentral:rRNA from 1 species
UACGUAGGGAGCAAGCGUUGUCCGGAAUCAUUGGGCGUAAAGCGCGCGUAGGCGGCCUCAUAAGUCCGUUGUGAAAGUCAAAGGCUCAACCCUUUGAAAGCCGAUGGAUACUGUGAGCUAGAGUCCGGAAGAGGCGAGUGGAAUUCCUGGUGUAGCGGUGGAAUGCGCAGAUAUCAGGAGGAACACCAAUAGCGAAGGCAGCUCGCUGGGACGGUACUGACGCUAAGGCGCGAAAGCGUGGGGAGCGAACAGG